rnacentral:rRNA from 1 species
UACGUAGGGUGCAAGCGUUAUCCGGAUUUACUGGGUGUAAAGGGCGAGUAGACGGCGAUGCAAGUCAGAUGUGAAAUGCUAGAGCUUAACUUUAGAACUGCAUCUGAAACUGUAGAACUAGAGUGCAGGAGAGGUAAGCGGAAUUCCUAGUGUAGAGGUGAAAUGCGUAGAUAUUAGGAGGAACACCAGUGGCGAAGGCGGCUUACUGGACUGUAACUGACGUUGAGGCGCGAAAGUGUGGGGAGCAAACAGG